GUAGCGGUGGCAGGCUGGCAGCAUCGGGAAAAAAUCGCCCAUUCGUUCGUUCGUACUUGGUGUGCCGCGCUAAAGGCUCGCAACGCGGCGCCCCGAGUCACGACGAUUCUCUCGGUUUGCUCGCCUCCUCCCUUCCUUAUUCGAUUCCUUUUUUUUUUCCUCCCUCUUCUUCCUUACCUUGACGUCGCCGCGGCAGCAGCGACGGUGACGGCGGCGGGAUCCCUCGCCUCGCUUCGGGAAUUUCGCGCGCGCGAUCGGCGCGAUUUGGCGCGAACGGUUACAAUGGCGGGCGACUAACGACUUUAUCGUAUCCGCGUCCAUUGGACGCGUUUCGGGAGAGCGCCAGAACGGAGGAGGACGAUUUGCGUUUCUCUUCUUGGGGCGGAUGCUAUGUAAAAAUUUCGUUAAUGACGAUGGAAAUUGGAGAGAAUUGCGCGGAAUGAGCAUUAAUAUUAAUAACGACCUGCGCCGCGUGGAUCGAUACAUAUAUACGUGUGUGUCUGUGCAUAGGAUUAUGCAAAGGAAAAAAAUCGCAUAUGCACGACGAACGUCGAAUAGUUACGAGCCGGUUGUAAGCGCUGGAGGACAUUGACCUCGCCGAUUCUCCCGACUGUGUUUUCGACGACUUGAGCUUCCACGUCGAUACAUGGAUGAAAUAAUUUCACCCCCGAAUCAAUAGUCGGAUUUAUUAUAAGCAUUCCAGGAAAUCCUAUCCUGAAAUUGUUAUGAGUUGCUACGCUUUGCAAACGAUUAUGUAAACAUUCUAUUAUUCCGAUUUGAAUAUCUUUCAACGGUCGUUCGACGUUGCCGCAUUUAUUCGUUCGAAUCUGUUUUCCCUUCUAUUUAUCUUUGCGAGUCGUGAAUGUUGUGGUUUGAUGAGCGAUCAUCGACUCGCCUGAGUGUCCCAGACAAACAAAAACAAGCACAUUGAACAUCUGUUGACAUUUUAAUUCAACUUUGAAAAUAAAGGCAGAUUGUUCUUGAUCACAUUCCUCUUAUUAAAUGUCCUCUCCCAUAAACAGAGUCUCGUAUCUUUAUGAAAGAAACAUAAGAGAUGACACAUUGUAAAAGCAAAACAACUGUAGAAGAAUAAACAAAUCUAUAAAG